rnacentral:rRNA from 1 species
UACGAAGGGUGCUAGCGUUGUUCGGAAUUACUGGGCGUAAAGGGCGUGUAGGCGGACAUAUCAGUCAGGGGGUGAAAUCCCGGGGCUCAACCCCGGAACUGCCUUUGAUACUGUAUGUCUAGAAUCUGUGGAGGGGAUAGUGAAUAUCAAGUGUAGAGGUGAAAUUCGUAGAUAUUUGAUGGAACACCAGUGGCGAAGGCGACUAUCUGGCACAGUAUUGACGCUGAGGCGCGAAAGCGUGGGGAGCAAACAGGAUUAGAUACCCGGGUAGUCC